rnacentral:lncRNA from 1 species
CCGCUCCCCCCGCUCAGCCUCCGCUGCUCAGCCUCCGCUGUACCGCGCUGCCUGCCGCCUUCCUCCCCCCACCGCCCAGCCGCGAUGCAGCAGCAGGGAUGGAGUUGUAGUGGUGCUGGGCGGAGGGGGUGAGAGAUUGGCUAUAAGGAGAAGGCUGACGGCUGCAGCAUGAAGCGCAUUAUUACCUUGUGAUUCCAUGACCCUCCUCUAUGCAUCCCUAACUCUCGAAAGCUGAUUCAGCUUUCAGCUAGUGCUCUGGUGAGUCCUCUGCUGCAACAGAAGCUCCUAACUGGUAUGUCUCUUUUUUUCCUUCCCCUCUUCUGCUCCCUUUCUUCCCUCUAACUGCACUAGCUCAGCUCGUUUUUAAACACUUUUCUGACCGAUGCAGGACUGAGUGCCCAUCCAACUUACCCGGGGACUUAAAUGUCUGCUUUUGCAUCCGGCAAAUGUGUGUGUGCUGCGUGUGUGUGUGUCUGUGUGGGGAUGUGCCGGCUGCCUCUAAUCCAUGGAUGAGUUGGGAGACCUUCCCCCCACCUUUAUUCUUUUUUGUUGUUGUUGUUCUGCUGUGGCAUACUCUGCAUUUAAAGGGGGGGAAAAAAAAAAGGAACAAACUGCAGAGCAAGCAGUGCACUAUAAUAAUCUGAACUGAAAUGUUAGAACUUUGACAUGCAGCCGUUCUGCAAGGUUAAACUGGCCUUUAAAUGCCUAAUUCAGAGCCAGGCUGGCUAAUGACACCUAGGGGGAUUGGGGCUUCAUUUAUUUAUUUGCACCAAACUAGUGGCUCUGAGCUAAUACCAAACAGAGCAAAAGGGUGAAAUGUGGUUAAACUUAGCCUAACUUGCAGUGAUCUCAGUGCUGCGGUGAUUAACUGUUCCAAUGCCGAGAACUGAGCGUUAAUUGCGGACGCAUGGCUUGUGGGCAAUCAGAAAGGAGAUGCAAGGAGAAGUUAGGUUUUCCCUGCAAGGGGUUUGAAUUCAGGUUACACUUCAUCCAUCAAUCGGCUGUUAUUGCUUUUGCAGCUGAGAGUUAGCUGUGGUCAUUAUAUUUUAUAUGAUAGUGGUGAUACCUGAUCACAUAAAUGUAUAUGCAUUGGUAUUGUGUGAGGGGUACUGUGUUAUAUACACGCAUGCACACAAACUGGGAUAUCUUUUAUAGCAUGCAUAUGUAUAUUUUACACGGCUUUAUACAGAGAUAUUAAAUGCUAUUAUAAACAGGUGUAGCACAUGAUCCCAAUUCAAUGCACCUUCAGUCUGUGCUUGGAGUAUGGCUAUUUGCAUAUGUCUGUGCUGGAGAGAGUGUGCACUCAGCAGUCGUGUGUAAUUGUGGAGGCAGAGCCCUGUGAUCUGGCUGGCAGUUUAAUUGCUGGUUCCCUGGUGCGGGUGGCCAUGCUGCCGCCCCAAAGGACUGAGCCUGGUCCAUUCCCUGCAGCUCGGCCCUGCUGGCUUUCCUUGGCUGUGCCCAGCCCCAAACCAGGCUGCCUCCAAGUCCCUGAAGUUUUGCACUGCACAGCCACAGCCUGACUUUGCCACCGGGACUGGAGGAGCUCCUCCAGAAUGGGAUAGAGGGAGCAGGUGUACAGCAUCAUGCUUCCAUCCUUCCCACUCCCUCCAUCCCUCCAUCUCCAUCCUUCCCUUUUAUUUGCUCCUUGCACUCUGCACUAUCCACAUUCCCAUGCAUUUUUCCCCCCACAACAACCACAAUUUUAUUGUGCAGCUUUUUCUGCUCUGGGUGAGCCGAGGUGUGUGGAGGAUGCUGGGCGAUGCUCGCCCACCACCCAUUACUCCUGGUGCUCACUGUAGGAUGUGGACCACAAAGUGCCUCUGGCGUCACCAUUAAAUCACCACCACGCCGCAUGUCUGCUCCUCCACCAGCAGGGCCAACCCUACAACUCACGGGCAGAUUGAAAUCUAGAUCCACCGCCUUUCUGGGAGCAACCAACAGAUGAACCUCCCUGCUGCGGUUGUUCCACUGUCUUCAAUAUUUGUAAGGAUUUUAUGUGCCGUCUUUUAGUUCCCUGUAGUUGGCUGGCAUCCCCUUCUCCUGCUCAUCUGCAGAAGUUUGGGACAGUUCAGGACAGUCCAUGGCAGGUGGAUUUCAGGAAAGCAAAUCGGGAGUGAGGUGAAAUGUGCAAUGGUCCAAGACGUCAAGUAGCUGUUCUGUUCCGUUGCUUGGCCUGUUGGUGUUUGUCUGAGGGGAAUUCAACAUGGCCAAGCGACUUGGCCAUGUGAAACCCACCUGAACUCAGUUCUUUGUGGGCUUUUGAGGAAUUCUUUUUAGAAUCGGAGCACCCAGGCUUUCCCUCACGCUCCUCUCCCUUCACUUUAAUUUCACUGCAGUCAUGCAUUAUCAUGGUGCCACAGCUCCAUCUCUCUUCCCAUUACUCCAAACCAGUGGUGGAAAUUUGCCUCAAAAUGAGACAAAUGACGACAUUUAGUGGGGCCAGAAGCCCUGUGGCAGUGAGGAAGGGCACAGUGCCGAACCAGCACUGGGCUCACACCCACUCUGCUGCGUGGUGCGUGGCACUGAGGGGUUGGGGCGAGCCCAUGGGUUUGCACCCCGGCUCUGCGGGGCUUUGCAGCCUGAUGGUGUGGAAGUCAAUCAGCACAGGGAAGUAUUUACUCCCACUCUCCCAGUGAUAUAUUUCACAAAGCAGCGGAAAAAAAACAAACAAAAAACCAACAAAACAAAAAAAAAAACCACCCAACACAUCGAUACAAUUAAGUAUUCCAAAGUGCUUACUUUGCCACUUGCUAAGUUUACUUAAACCCUCUUUAAAGGCUUCAUUAGAAACCGGUGAGAAAUGGCCAAAUUCAUUAGCGUCGAGGCAGGCGUUGUGCAUUUCGCCUGCAAAUUGCAAUCGAGCGGCGGCGGGGCGAGGGGCGCAGGUGAGCGCACACCCGCUGUGCUGAGCGAGCGGCAGCGCCCGCCGUGACCUCCGGAAUGCCGCCCUGCAUUCAGCCCAGCCACAUUGUUCCGGAGCUUUAAAGCUCAGCGUGGCUGCUGGCGGAGGGCAGAGGCAACGGGAACUGAUGGCUGCGUGUGGGGAUGAGCCCCACGGGGACAACUCCGAAAGACUUUUUUGGCCUAAGCCACCAGCACGGGGCUGGGGCUGCUUUUUAGUUUGCAUCUCUGCUGGUGUCUACCCCAGGUGUGGGGCUCCGCUGGAUGACUUGUGAAAAGCGAAUUGUUUUUUAUAUACGUUUUUUGAAUACCCCGAAAUCCCCCGCCCUUCUCCCAAGGUAUAUUGGGGAUUGUUUGCUGCAAGGUAGUGUCACACUCACGGUGACCAGCAGAGGAAAAAUCACUGGAUUCUUUAGGUAAGAUGCUUUCUUCUUCCUAUGCCUUAAUCUCUACUUAGUGCUGGAAGCGAUGGCGUGUCUGUAGCUGGUGAGUUCUCUUGCUCUGCCAGAUGGAGCACUUCUUGCUGGUGUUGCUUUGUAAAUCAGUGCCGGAUGCUGGAUUUUGGCUUUCUGAAAGCAAAUUGGCUUCUUGUUUCUAAAUUGCAGGAUGGAGGCGAUCGGGAUUUGAUAUCUACUUAACCUCCACCCACAUGGCUUUGUCUAAAUCUAUAUACACACACAUAUAUAUAUGCAUAUAUAUAUAUAUAUACACAGAAAGCAAAUUCCUUCAACUAAAGCCUUUUUAAUUGCUGAAAGUUUGCAAUUUCAGUGAAAGCAUCCUCUUUGUAGGGGGGCUGGGAGUGGGGCUUUUCCUCUGUGCCAUUCCAUGACAAAGUGCUGCAGGCACUCCAGGCAUUGCCCACUGCCUCUUCCCAGCCCUAAACCCCAGCAACCUGCAGGGGCAGAGCCGGAAUGACCAGCAAGGGGAGUGAGUGUGUGUGUGUGUGUGUGUGUGUGCAUGCAUGUGUGUGUUUUGCACAUGGGCUGCCUCAAACUGUGCUGUAACUCACUCCUGGGAAGUAAAUGGCACGCCAGCCCUAUUUCCUCCCGUGUACAUAUAAAUGCGCAUAUUGAACCUACCUGCUUGAGAGACAUACUUCUUUAUAUGCCCAUAUGAACCUGGCAAUCUAUGGAAUGUAAAGAAGUAUGUAUUUCAGGUGGGAACUCUUCUCGGAGGAGCAAUGUAUGACCCCGUGUGAAGGGGGGGGGGGGGAGGAAGACAGACAGAUUUUUGUCUUUUUUUUUUGAGAUGCCUGACAUGGCAGACUGGCUGGGGAGUCAAUUGGUGAUCUUGUUCCAGUGCGUGUAUUGUUCUGUCACUUUGCCUGUGUCAGCAGGUGGAAAUGCUCAUCAGGACAUUAAAUAUUCAAUAUGCUGACUGCGGCAUGGGCUUUGAAAGGCGAUGCCAGAGGAAAGCUGGCUGUCCACUCCUGGUUUUCAGCGGGGAUACAGACCAGUCCCUCCGGAUUGCUGCUUCCCCCUCGGCCCUUUUUCCCAAAAAUAAGGCUGGGUAAAAGAGCUGGUCCUUAAUCCUAGGGAAAAGGAAAGGAGUUGGAGGCGGGGAGAAGAAGGGAAGGAGUUGUGACUUGGAGGUGCAGUAUUUUGGCUUCACGUAAAUACGCAGACAGCUUUUGGGAUGUUUCCUGUGUUAAAACUUUUUGUGCUUAAUGCUGGAGAGGAAGCAAUGUUCACUGUGCGUGUGUUGGCCCUUGGACAUGGCCAGUGGGUGCCCAGCUCCCAGCCAGAGGCAGUGAGCGCUCCCAGUGUGUGUUAUUAGAGGGUUAUUAGAGGGAAAUAAGGAAAAUAGCACCUUGAAUUUGAGAAGCUUUCCUGGUGUUCUGGUUUUCCUUUUUAACCUUUCUCAUCGUAAAACACCUGGUUAUUCUCCCAGCAUCCCACGGCAGUGAGAUGCAAUGAUACAAAUGGGUGUAACGUUCUGUGCGAACAAUCAGAACUUUCUGUCUGGGUAGGGGCGGGUGAAGCUUUCAGCCCCCAUUUUCCUCAAGCUUAUGAGAUGCACAUAUCUGGGCUGUUAGGCACUGCAUUUCUCCAUCCCACCUACUCCCAAACUUAUCCCCAUCACCCCGCCGUGCAGCCGAGGGCACAGCAGUGUUCUGCUCUGGAGCAAGUUCCCUCUGGUUUCAGCACAUCUCUGUGCUUGGCAAAAGUGCUCUGAAGGCCUUUGCUGAGCCUCAGUUUGUUGUGAUUCAUGGCAAGCACUGCUGCCACUUGUUACACGUACACCAAAUGGGGUUUAACGGAAAGCAGGCACUUGUGAAUAGCAGGUUAAGUAAGGAGGGCUGGGCUCUUAAGGAGAUUUCCAAUGUACAGAAUUCUGUAAGUUUUAUAAAUCUUUCUUUUUUUAGAAAGAUGAUACAAGUGGUGGACACACAUGGAGUGCUCAACCUCUGCUUGGGGGAGGAGGGACCUCUGCUUUGCCAGGUGCUUUGAGGAGAGGCAUUGUCCCCUGGACAGGGAUGGGUCCCAGCCACUGAGGGUGUCCUGCCCCAGUUUGGGGCCACAAUUAAAUACAAAGGUGCUGGGAAAUGAAUAGAGACGGAGCAGCAGAGUUCCCAUGGCCAAACAGGGCUGCAAUUUCUCUCACUUGUACAUCACUGCUGGGAGCUUGACUUGCUGUGUGAAAAAUGGGGAUGAUUCUCACCAUUCUGGCCACAAUAGCAAUUUCCCUCCUCUCCCAGGUGACCUUUUACCCUACCUCUUCUCGAUUCCCUUUUCCUCACUGCUUUCCUCUCCUUCCUUCUUUCCUUGUCUUCUACUUGUGUGCUUCUCAUUUUCUCCUUAUUUCUAGCUUGCUUUCUUGCUUUCAACUCCGCUCUUAUAUUUUUCUCUUCUUUAUUUUCUUUUUUUUUUUCUCUUUUCUUUCAUUCUCUCAUUGUCUUGCUCUUUCUUUUUCUUGUUUUCUUCUCUUUCUCUGCAUUCUCAGCGCGGGUGUUACUGAGCCUUCCACAUCACUGUGCAUAUCUCUAGCGAAGGUGCUCAUGGUCUGAUUUACAACAGAUACCUGCAUCCCUAAUGCAAUUUUUAUCUCCUUCCCCCUCUCUGAAUUAAUAUGCUUGUUAAUCACACGGAAUUGCUAACUUUAGGAAGUCACUAAGUGUUCAGAUUUAUUUUUAUGUAAAUAUUUUCAAAACCAUAACUCAGCUCUGUCUCACGGUGUGGGAGCCACGUGGUGGAGGUGUGUGGGUGCAGAACACAUCCUGAGACCCUACCCCAUCUCUGGUGCAGUGUGGCAAUGCCAAAAAAUAAAUAGAAAUGCUGUAAAGACCCCAAAACCACGUCAGCCCUUUAGUCAUUAGCAUCGUCCACCAGUUUGCGCCAUUCUUACUCUUAGCUCCAGCUCCUUCUCGCUUUUCUUCUUGUUUGGAUUAAAACUGUGACUGUUCCUCCACACUAGGUCCUCCCUAUUUCUUAGCUUGAAGAAAGCCUCUUCUCCUUCGCUCUCCAUAGAGCAGAGCUGCAGGUUCUGUGCUGAAGCGAGGCGCGAUGCUCGGCUGUGCCCAUCCGUCCCGCAAAGCGCGCACUGAGCGGUCCCACCAGCAGAAACGGGAGCUCUGAGGACUGUAAAAGCCAUAAAUCCAGUGGACCAAAUUAGUUACGUUUUCCUAUUCUAUGCCUCACAAAACCCAUCCGUUCUUGAGAUGAAUUUUCUGCACAUAAGAGGAACUACGGGCAGGUAUAGAAUGGGAAUUUUGCACACGCGCAUGGGAGCACGGGGAUGAAUUCGUGCUGUGUGUUUUCCCCUGAAUUAUUUUUUUCCCUUUCAUGUGUUUAUGUUGAUGAGCUAUUAUUACUUUUGUUGCUAUUACUUAAUACUGGAAGACAGGUGGUCCAAUAAAUCCCAGCACUCUUCUUUUGUAAAAAAAAAAAAAAAAAGGGGGGGGGGGGCAUAUUUGCAAUUCAAGUUUAAUAGUGCAUUCAUCAAGAGCAAUAAAGCAUUCAUUUUAUUGCACGAGUAUUUCAAGGGAUGUGCUGGCCCUGGUGAAAGCAUUAGUAAAGGGGUGCAUCAGCAAUCUCAUUUAAAACUGUCGACCCAAUGUGAAAAAUGUUGCGUUGAAGAAUAAACUGCUAUUAAGCAUGAUUAGAUUGACCUGCAGGACAGAUAUUUUAGCUGCUGCAGCACAAGUCGAUCAAAGUGAGCAUCGCUUAGAUUGCAAAUUUUUUUUUUUUUAAUGCCCUAAAUUAAAAAUGAAAGAGCCUCAGAAUAUUUAGGACCAGAGAGUGACUUUGGGGGUGAGAUUUGUGUGUUUGAUUUGAGGAGGUUUGGAAAGGUGGAGAACGGGGGGAAAACAUAUUAAUUGCUGCCCCUUUAGCAUACAUUGAAAGUAUGUUACUCGGAUCAACCAAUCAAAAAAGAAAUUGUGCUGACUCAGCAUUCGGGCUAGUCUGCACGUCCGAUUGCAGAAGAGAUCAGCACUGCACUGCAGUAUCUUUCCCUGCCUUUGACACCAGCCUAGCUGGGCAGGGCUUCCCUUGUGCUUCCCAGGACUGGGUUAGGCCAAGAACAAGAGCGGGCUCUGAAGAAUCGAGGAGAGAGACAAGGUUGCAGGAGCCUUGAGCUGCUCCGAGGCUUUUUAGUCUGUAAGCAAGAGCUUCCAUGCUAGGUUUGCCCUGCCAGAUGCGAGCGGCAUGUAUUGCUUGGGAAUAUAUCUAUUUUUAAAGAGUUUCACCACAUCUUGCACUUCACGGUGGCUGUGGGCGAGGGGGUGGUGUGUUCCUUGCAAGAGAAAUAUCCUCGCUCCGGAGCUCGCAUCCCUCCCCUGAAAGCCGGGCGCUGAUUUCAGCGAUUCCCUCCCAGUGAAGGCGCUCAGUUUAGCGCUUUCUGCUGAAGUUGCUCUUGACCUGAAGCCAUCAUGCAGCAAGAUGCUUCCCUGUUGGGAUGCAGGGUCAUGGCGAGUGCAGCUCAUUGCACCGCCUGCUUGCUGGGCUGCAGGCAGCUAUGCUGCUCCCCUGCCUUGCAUUCCCCCAGAGGGAGGGGGCUGCUCAUGUAGAGAUGCUGAAGCCAUUGCAGGGAUAGGACUGGAGAAGGUCUUGGUGCAAUUACCCAAGAACAAGCUCAUUCUGAGUGUGUAAUGGCCAAAAUGCAAAGUCUUGUGCAGCCUCCUCAACAGGCAGAGCUCCAAGCCGCCUGCCUCCUCUGACACCCUGUAAUUCUCCAAAGGAGAUUCUGCUCACACUGUGUAAGCAGUGUCAGCAUUCACCCUUGCUUUGAGCUUGCAUUUCUUGCAUAGAGGUCUGUAUGAAGGAACAGAGGCCAAUAGCCAUGUGCACGGGUGGAAGGUUGUCAGAGGACAGACACACUUGGAAUAAGAGGCAAGUUUAUAGUGAAGCUUUUAGCAGUUGGAGCAGUUUUGGUGGUGCUCAGGAUGCUUUGAUGGAAACAGGGUGCCUGACAUCUUAAAACAGAUGCAGCUUUUCCUUUUUUCCCUCUUUUUUUUUUCUUUCUUCUCUUCUCGAAGCACAGCACUCUGCCUGUGCCAUGUCCAGAUAUGGCCUGCGCUGGGAUGGGAGCUGCUAGCUAAAAAAGCCACAGGCAGCCCAGCGGGACCAGCAGCAGCUGGUAUAAAUAGUGCUCAUUCUCAGCUGCCCCUCUGCCGGGCCGGAUUAGGUGGCAUCUGGGCAGCCAGGGGCUCGUGACCACCGGCUGCAGAAGUCCCCAAGCAGCUGUGAGGGCAGGAGCCGUCCCUGCAAAGCCCUUACAUAGGCACGUCGACCCUGGCAUUUGGGGGGUCGGGUAAAGCUACCGGAGCAGGAAUCCGGUGACCUAAGAAUGAUCAGGAAUAAAUUUCAUCGCGGCAUCCAGGCAGAGCUUCCAAUCUGGGACAUGGCCCAAGGUUGGAGGCAGGAUCUGGCCUUCUGCUUUUUACCCCAUUGCAUGCAUGUGGAAUCUGCAGGGAUGGUGAAGCAUUGCUCAGAGUGGCCAAGAUGCGGUUGCGUCCCCCUCUAGGACACAAUGAGUUAAUUUACUGUCAGUGAGAUUAUUGGAAUCUGAUUUAAUACUUGUGUUUACUUCAGGUCAACAAAUUAAAAAAAAAAACAAACCAACACCACAACAAAGCUUAAUAAUUUAAGGCACCAGCUUGAUGGAGGCUAAUAGAAAAUAAUGCAUCUCGUGCAGAGAUUUCCAUCCCAAGCUUGCAGAGCAUGCAGUGUGUGCCCCUCCUGCCAUGCCUGCAGUCAAUGCCAUGGGAAGGGGCGGUGUGGUGCCUGGAGGCAGCUCAUGAUGUAUGGAAGUAAAAAAAUUGAGCAGUGAAUGGGAUUGGUUUGACUGAGUGGAGAUAAACGCGCAGGCAGUAGCUGAAAUGUGAUGUGCGUAGUGGGGGAUGUGGGAUAAAACUCUGUUGGCAUCACAGGUCAGAGUAGAGAGGGUCUGCUGGCGGGCAGGUGAUGCAUGGGUGGGCACAGGUGAUACUCAGCGUAUGAGUAAAGGUUGUUGCAGAGUGUGUUGGGGAUGGUCCCAAAGUGACCACAGUCUGGGUAGGAGAUGCCUGGAGCCUUCAGGUGCACUGGGAGAUGCGGCACUACUCGCAGGGUGAGAUGGCAGUUCCUUAGUGGGGAAUGGCUUCACCGCUAAAUCAGUGCCGGAGCUUUGUCCCUUCCCUUCCUUGCCGUGUCAGGGCUCUGAGCCACACCAGGUUGUGUUCUUUAAUUUAAGCUUUGUCCUAAAGCCUUGUCUCAGAGAUAAUAAGACGCACACACAUACGCACCCACUAAAAUCCAUUGUGCCAUUUUUGCAAAGAACAGCAGAAGCUGCCCGUGUACCUUCCCCUCUCUGUCCUCCACACUCAUUUGGCCUAUUUGAAGUGGAAUUUAUUCCUGGGAAGGUCCCCAUCAAUUUGCCUUGCUCUUUUGUUGACAAGUUUAUUAAAAACCUGGGCAACUCCAUAUUAAACUUUUAUCAGUGUCGAGGAAGAAUACGUCCUUAGAGCGGCCACAAAAGUUAUGGAUUGGAUCUGAACAUUUCUUGUUCCACUGUCCAGCUGAGUCAGCUUAACAAAUAAAAGCUGCCACCUCCAUUUUUUUCCCUUCCUCAAGAGACAGUUCCCUUUCCCGUGUAAGUAACAGCAGCAAUAACACAAGGAGGUUUCAGGGCCGGGCAAACAGGAGCUUUUCUUUGCACCCACCAGUCCUUACUGCUGAUUAGAAUAAUAAUAUUAACAGAAAACAGGAAUAAAAUAAGAGCCCUGCCGGUAGUUAUAGCUUCUUACCUCUGAGCUAAUUGUUUGUGUAAAGUAAUCUCUACUUUAUAGACAAAUAUAUGAAAAAAAUACCCCCCAAAGUUAAUAUGGGUUGUACUGAGAGCAACGUGAGUAGUUUCACAUUUCCAUACCCUGCAAGGGCACGGAGGGUUGGCAGCGCGGCCGGCGGCAAUACUCGGUUGGGGAUGUGCGGAACCGUCGCUCUUAUUCCUUUAGUUGUAAGAUUAAACCAAGAGGAGGCCAACGUGUUGCAGGGGAGAUGUUAAAAAUAAAGCGCUGGCAUCGCAUAACCUAGUUCCUGUUUUGCCUUGCAAUGGAGUUUUUAUGAGUUGAAAGAAACCGGCGAAACAAUCGGUGAGACGGAUUUUGAGCUGCCAGAACGGAGACAGGCAGGGGAGAAGUGAACCGAGUGGUGGCUCUUAACCUCUGCCAGAUAAAUAAAUAAAUAUCUGUCCCCAAACAACAUAUUUCUUGGCCUGUCACCGCGUCCAAGGAUUUUUUAGUUCUUAAACAGGUUUGCUGGCAUAAUUUGUCAAGUACAACAGGGAGGUUUCCGUGUGACAGAGGAUCAUUUUUCACCGCGCACGGUGGGGCACCGAAACAGUCCUGCAGGCUCAGAGCAGCUCCAUAAUUAGAUAACAGUUAACAUACGUGUAUUAGAGGGAUCAUCCUUCAUGCUAUGGGGCACAGCAGAGCCUGCCACUGCCGAUACCGUGCUGUGCCGAAAGCAGGCAGGGAGCGGGCCGGACAAAUGCAUCUUACUCCAGGAGUUUAUCUGCAUCACCAUUUGCUCCAAUUAUAACUAAUUGGACACAUAUUGCAUUUUCAUAGCAUCUAAUUUUCUAUUGAUUUUAACGGGACUGAUGGUGUUUUGUACUGUUAAGUGGUAUCUCGUACCCGUUGUUGUUUAAAAAUGCUGAGUACACUCCCCUGUAUGGAAUUAUGCAGUCAGCAGAUGUUUUAAAACCUCUUUAAUUGUUCGGUCCAUAAAAUGCACAAAGUGUAUUAGGGAACAGCUUUGUUCUCUUUGAGUGUGUGAGUUUAAAAAUCCAAACUCCAAACUAUUUCUGCUGCCAGUUCCAGGAGCUGCAGCUCUCGGCGGGCAGCCCUGUCCCAGGGGUGGGCUCCCUGCUGCAAUGGAUGCUCCGCAGUUCUUAGGCUGUGUAUGAAGCAGGACCUUCAGCUCCAGGGUGAAAUUUGGAUUAAGACGAAGAUGUUCAUAUUGAGAGUCAAGAUUUUGAUAAGGUCACUUGUGGUCUCCUGUAUAACUAAGGAAUAAGCUGGUAAUUGGUAGGAUUUGGGGUUAUAUUCUCUGUUAUAGAUCUUGCUCUCUGUCUCGACAGUACGUCCAAAUAAAACCGGACUAUCAAAUUAGCCACUGCAUUUCAGCAAAUACUCAGUGAAGCAGGAUGAAAGCAAUAGUCCUCUGUUCAGCAUCAUUUAAAGAAGAAAAGAUUUAAAUGAGAUAUGUAGUGGAGGAGCAGAGAGGCAGCCGGGAAAAAGCUUUCCUAGCAUUGAUCAUUACAAGCAUGGUGGAGAUUUGAACGCUUCGGAUAUUGGCAUAUGAGGAAGAAGGUUUUUAUGCUGAGGGCGGUGAAGCACUGGCACAGGUUGCCCAGAGAGGUGCCCCAUCCCUGGAGACACCCAAGGUCAGGCUGGAGGGGCUCUGAGCACUGAUGGAGCUGUGGGUUUCCCUGCUCAUUGCGGGGGGUUGGACCAGAUGGGCUUUAAAGGUCUCUUCCAAAUCAAGCCAUUCUGUGACCCUGUGAUUAAAGGUAGAUAGGGCAGGCAAUAGGAUAUGGGAAUUGUUCUGCCUGGGGUGCCUGUGGGCUGCCAUCAACCCGCUGCCUUCUCCAGCCAUUAGCAAGAAUUGCAUCAUGUUGGUGGGAGACAGGUGGGAUCAUGGAGGUGUAUAAACUAAAUAGACACUUUAUUAAGUUCAGGUAAUAGUUUUGAAAGACUGAGUGGCUACUGCACUGUCAGCAGCUCCUUUAGUGCCCAUAGGAACUGAGUGCUUUUUAAUUAAGUCAAAUAAAAUCCAAGCGGAAGACUUCCCAGCCUUGGCUGAAGCAUAUUUUUUGGGUUGAAUACCUAUAAUUUUAGAAAUGUUAAUAAAACACAGUCCACUUUUUCCCCUGUAAUAAUAUAAAUUAAAUUAAUAUUUUAUGUCUGUAAGAAAAAGGAUAAAAGCACCGAGGUUGUAUUUUCUGGCUUACAAAUGGCACAUUGUGCAGAAUACAGCAACUGUGGCAUUGAUUUAAACAUCCUCGCAAAGACACCAUGCAAUAAAGUUGAAUCAUCUGCAGUACAAGUAUGGCUGUUUGGGGGAAAAAUAGCCAAAUGAGAGAGCAGACGUUUUCCUGUAUUAUCAAAAGCCACUUCAUUUUGGGGAAAAUUCCUCAGAUUUAGUGACAUUUGGAUGGAAAUCAAAUAACACAUUAACUUGAGGAAAGGGAAAAAAACCUUCCAAAGCUAAUUACAGAGGGAAUGUGCACUUCAUUAAGAUAAAGCUGUAAGAAAUCAAUGUUCUGUAUUGUUGUUUUUUCCUUUUGAUUGGAUUUUAGCAUGAUAAAUUGUUAAUGCAUUUGAUCUAAAAAUGAUUUGUUUAUUCAGAUGAAGAGCAACAGUACUUUGUCUCAUUUGGCCUUUUAGCUUAUAAUGAUAAUGAUUUCAAGAGAUGUUCAUUUCUCAAAAGGGUAUUGGACUGGAAUAAGCAGGAGAUUUCUGGACUCAGAAGGAUGGGCCCUACACAAGGGUUCCUUGUAGGCUAAUUCUAUUGCAUGUUGAAUCUUCUGCUUCAUUAGGAAUAUCGACAAAUGUUGAUAAAUUCUUUGGCUAUUCUGUGCUGUCUAUAUAAAACAUCUUCAUUAGAAUGUUGAGGCUAAAGCACAAAGGUCUUCAUUGCCCCAGGUUCUCUUAUGUUGCCCACUUUUGGCCCCACUUGCCAUGGCAGUGCUUUGAUAACACAGGGAUCUGGCUGCUCUCAGAAGUGUAAUCAUGAACUGCAAAGCUGACACUUAGACCAAAAGCAAAACCGAGGCAUUACACAGUGACUGGCAGAGAGGGGAAUGAGAUGCACAGCUUUAUUUUGCUAUUUUGCCUUGGAUUUGCUUCAGAGAUGUGUUCCUAUAUCUCCCCAGUGCCAUUCCACUAUGUGGCCAUUCCUGGCUGGGGCGGUGUCGGUCCCAUGGGCAGGGUCCUAGGGACAGAGCGACCAGAAAGGACCUUCCCAGUGAGACCCAAUUCCAAGCACUGCUGGGAGGAAACAACUGGAUGAGGAUGACCUUCAGACAGCAAACCUAAAUUUGGUGGCGCUGGGUCGCCCGGUCCUUGAACCUGGGAGGGCAAUAGGAAGGGUAAGUGACACCAAAGCCUGGUCUGACUGGGUUUCAGCACAGCUCACACCUUUGAACACAUCCAGCAAAGCCUCUGCAGUUCCUCUUGCUGCACUGCUGGCCGGGCCCAGGUGUGUGGGGGCUGUGAGCCCCAUGUGCUGCAGCCCUGCAGCAGAGGUGUGGGGAUGCUUUUCCUCAGUUCUGGGAAAGCCUCGCCGCCAGAGCCAUCGUUAGUCGUGAUUAAUGGCAUCCAGAAGAGAAAACCUAAUUUUCUAAAAAGGAAAACCUCACUCAUAACUCACUGCAGAGAAUUCAAACAAAACGUUACGGAAUGUCGGCGCGUGCUGGCAUUGAUUUCGGAUGUGCUGCGGGGCACUCCCUGAAGCAAAGCGAGGGGAACAGAGCAGCACUCAUCUCCAGCAGAAGAUGCUUGUUUUAACGCCCUUCCUGCCAAAACCAAUGGGAUGGGGACAGGACAAGGGCACCUGGAGCACGCCAUGCUGAUGUUCGGGCAGUUCAUUGCUCUGCCUCCCAAAAUCCAUAUGCCCGUCAGGGUUUAGCUUGCAGUCUCGGUGCAGCAUCGGUCACUGCUGGCACUUCCACCUCCUCCCGUUCUCUGGUAAAUAAUUACUUCCCUCCCUCCUAUAACUCACCAAAGGAUGAGUUUAAUACUUCUAGGUCCUCACUGUCUAAGUUUCCAUUUAGCUCCUUGGCUUGAUUGUCUCUUGAAAAGGUACCUAGAGAUAACUCGAUUAAAUUAAUUGUAGAGCUCUUUUAAAAAAGAUGUUCUCUCUCUCUUUCGCUCUCUCUCCGCAUUUAUUUAUAGGCAGCUUACAGUACUGGGGCUGGGCAGUUAAGUGAUCUGCACUACUUACUGUUACAAUGCAAAGCCUGGAUUUCUUGGGGACCAGCAAUACCGGCCCACAUGCAAUAUCUCUGCAUGCAGUGCCUUUCAGCACAGGUGCUUUUUUCUCGGUGUCAUGUCGUGGUGUGUGCGGUGGGCUGUGAGGGAGAGGGGGGAAAAAGUCACCUUUGCCUCGCGAUGCAUGUAAAUUCUUUAAAUAGGUUACGCACGUGGCGAUGUGCAAUAUCUGCGCGUGGCGCUGGGUUACGAAGGAGAGGUCUGGCUUUAUUGGCUCCUGCUGCUGUGAUUUAAAAAUCUGAUUUACUGAGUUAUUGGGAGCAGUGGGUGCUCACAGCGUGGGGCUCUCCGGGAGCUGCAGGCUGAGCCCUUGCAGAGGAUGGGGCUGGGAGGCUGCAGGGCUGCUCCGCUUUCUCUUCCACUCAACGCCCUCCCGAUGGUGGUAAAUACAGUCCUUGCUUGUCUUCAACAGAUCUGAAAGCCAUGGAAAGCACUGAUUUUAAAGGUAGAUGAGAAAACUUGAGUUACCAGAAUGCAGGGCACGGGUGGGGAUAGCAGACAAAAGAUCUGAAAGAAAGAAGGCUGGAGGUGGCAAUUAAAUGACCUGGAUUAGGACACUACUCAGUCACACUGUGGUAGCAAUGCAGCUUCAAAACAGAGCCAAACACCGGGUUUAAAAGGCUACAGGCAGGCACUGAGUGCUGCAGACUGUUCCACUGCUUUUAAAACUGCCUCUUUAAUUCAGACUCGCUCUUCAGCCAAAGCUGCUAAGAAGCUUAAAUAAAUCCUGAAUGCCUGAAAGCGAAGCCAUGUGAACCCGUGCAACGUCAGGCAGCAAGUUCAGAAGAGGUCCUGGCGACUGUGAAGGAAAAGGCCCUGAGGAGUUCCCCUCUUUGCUUUGCAGAGCGUGAGGCCAAAUGCUUUGCUAAAGCUGGUAAAAUGGAACCAAAUCAACUGUUCAAUGGAUUUGGUCCCCUUCAACCAGCUGUAGCUGUGCAUUGAUCUCUCAGACGCACCUCGGAGGCUGACCCGGACAGCAGAAGAAAUGGGCACGUGAGAGGGGCCAAGGAGGGAUGCUGAUGGCUGGCGUCUGCAGAUCUGUCACCCGGGCUCUAAACUGGUGGGCUGAGCCCGAGCCAUUAUGUGGCUGCCAGUCAAUUCUGUGUAACGGAGACCACUCAAGAUUGAUAAUCUCUAUCGUCCUCCUGUAUUGAUCCCAGCUGUGAUUCAGGUCUGUGUAUUUCAAGUGCAAAUGCUGUACGUUUUACGUGUGAUUGCUCAGACACCUCCCCCCCAGGAGCCUCGUGCCUGUGUUUCAUCCGCUGCAAUGAAGAAUAAACGUUUUGAUCUGAAGUUCCCUCCUUGUGUUUUGUUCCAUGCGCUGAGCUGCUCACGAAAUGGGAAUUCUGGGGCUGGCAAGGCAGGGAAUGGGGUGGAAGCACCUGCUGCUUCCCAGCUGCCCCAAACUGGCCAGCAAUAUUGGGUGAUUUGAGAGAUAAUAGCUUUGUUCCAAAAAAAGUCUCCAUUUGAAUGUGUUGGGCUUAUGUUUCUAAAGACCUGUGAAGUGUCUGCUGGUCUAAUCCUCAUAAGCACAAAUAUUAUGCUAAUGGACUUAAAGAAAAUCACUGGUUUUCCCCAUGUCAUAAUGAUUGUUGGGAAAGGACGUUGGGCAUCAUCUCUUCCUAAGUACUGUAAAUCUAUAGGACUAUCACAAGCUAUUACUGCUGGUAUAAUGAGCCAUUUGGAUGCAUAAGUCUGAUAUGAGAUUGCUCACAUCUUUACUUUUUAAAGAUACCUGGCCCAGGAUAACCCCUGGCAUUAGAGGAGGCAGACAUUUCUCUCUUUUCUUAUGUAGGAAACUGGGUCGCCUGACUCCAGGUCCCCAGUCCCUCAGGUACCGGUUAAAUGUUCUUAAUAGUAUCAGGAGUAUUCACAUGCUUUAAGAGAUGGAGCUAUUUGCUAGAUUUGAGGUUUAACGUGCGUCUAAUUUUUAUGUCACUGAGUGUUUUAAAGACAAAGACAUGAGGAGCAGUGGAGCUGCAGGAGCAUCCCUCCUCAGCUAAAAGGAAACCCAUGCUUUCCUCUGUAGCUCAUUUUUCUCACCUUAAGUGUCAAAGCGUCUAUGCUGAAGUCCUACUGAAAUCCAAAUAGUGGUUUGGUUGUUGUUGUUUGUUUUUUUUCCAUGUAUUCCGUUAGAUCAGGCAAAUACCUGGUACUUUUUCCUGAGAACAAGUUGGGGUUGAGGAGCAUGUGCAGAGCUGAGGGCUCAGGUCUCCAGCUCUCCCCUUUGGGAAGCAGUAAUCGCUUCUCACACUGAAAAGAAUGCUUGGGUGUCAAAAGUUCCCUCAGAGUGAACAGCAUACACUGAGAAUACCUUCCAUGCUGAAAUCCCCUCUUGCUGCAGCCUGGGCAGUGAUGACAGAUAAGUUUCUAGGGAGCUUCUGGGAAGAUAAGUUGUUUGUUCUGUUAUUUUCUUCUUUUCCUGUGGUUCAUCAAUCUCUUAGUGUAAAUAUGUCGGGGAGGAGAAGCAGUUGUAUCAGCACUGAUCAGGUAUAUUUGCUGCAUUCGUUCUGAAAAAUGCAUAAGUGGGAAGCUGUGCAUGAACUGUUGGAGGAGGAUGUUCUCCUUCACACCACCCUGGAAAUAUAUAAAAGAAAUAAUAAUUAUUAUUUUUUUUUUUCCAAAAAUGCAACGUCUCUACAAACACCCACCAGUGCAUCCAGAAGGGCUUUAUCCUUGUCUAAUAGGAGAUGCCCAAGCCCUUACAACAUGAAGUUGCAAAUAUUUUAGCCUGUAAACAGAGGAAAGUGAGUAGCUCCAAUGAAUCCCUGCAGCAUCAUGGGGCAAAUUGACAUCCAUGCGCAGGAAGGAUGCUUGUAGCUUUACAGCCACAGCACGUGGCAAAAUAGCCAAUGGUCACCACCUCUGCAGCUGCAAGCUGCAGGCACGCAUUUUUGCACACUCCUUUCCCUGCCAAUUGUUUGCUUUGUAAUCAACAGUGCUGGUUUCUGGGCAUUAUCCAAUCCCACCCCCUAAUUUUGCAUCAAGUGAAAGCAUCAGUGAAGACAGGAAUGAGCGUGCAUGCAGAAUCGCUGUGCAAAUGCCACCCUAAAGCUCUUGCUGCCAAACCCAAGAUUCAUAAGCAAGGAAGGAUGGGGAUGAAAGCACUGGGGAAAGGAAUCUCCAGCACAAACAGGCAGUUUGGGCUGUGGGUGAUACUGGGACAGGUUGAGUAGAACCGGGUGCUUCCAGCAGGCUGUGGCUUGGCUUUCCAAAAUAGCAUGCUCCCCACUCCUGCAGUCUGGGUUAUUCUCCCUCACUCCCCAAGGCUGCAUUCGGUGUAAACAGCACCUUUAUUAAAAUUCUUCCUUCGGAAUGUUAAUUAAAUUACUAAAAAAUGACAAAUGGGGAAGCUGAAGACAUCACAACUGGAACAAAACCACGGAAUGUAACUGAAAAGGUUUUCUCCUGGUGAAGCAUGGGUGGACAAGGGCUCACCUGCUGCAGCAGCUCAGGGUGAUUUCUUUUAAUGGGGCUCCCAGGCUUUGGCUGUUGGCAUCUACACAGAUCCCAGGCACAUGUUCCUCUGCAGGAAAUACUGAAAGCAUUUGUUGUCCCAGAAAUCCUCCCAGAAGAGUUCUGGAUAUAUAUGGGAACAGCGGUAUGCAUCCAUACAACAUGUUAUAUGGGAGUACAUGGCAUUUUAUCAUCUGAUGCAGUUGUUGUGCAAUGAUGUCACACUACUUUGAUCACUCUAUAAACCCGUGUGCCAAAACAUCACCUUGGUCUGUGUUUUGGUACCCCACAGCCAUCUGAGCACUGAAUAGUAGGAAGCUUCCAUUUCACUUGAAGCAAGAAGAUGGAUGUGGGGAUUUUAAAGUUGGGCCAUGUAUUUAGGAGCUUAAACAUGGAUCUCACCUUCAGACAUCUACGUUUGGAAAUUUCUGCAGGUAUAUUUAUUGGUUAAUUAUAUCUUUAUGAAUGGGAACUUCAAUUCACUUAAUAAGGAAUUUGUAGAACGAUACAGGCUACUAUGAACCAAUGCAAGAAAUGUGGGGGCCAAGCCAAAGGCAGCUGUUAGACUUUGGGGGAACUUUCCAAGGACUGCUAAUAUACAGGGACAAACCUAAGACCAGGGCCAAAAAAUAAUUGCUAAUAUUCCUCCCAACAGUUUGUCUGUCAAACCUGUUCACCCUCAAAUCCCUUCUGAUGCUCUGCAUAGGAGCAAAUGGAGCUUCCAUUUCAACCAGGACAUGGACCUACCCAGGGUGUGAAAACUGGAUCCUCUCCAGUUGGCUUCUCAUAAAGCACAGCUCUGAGUGGAAGUUCUACCACUGACUUUGAAUGCCCCAGCAUCAGGCCCUGGCUCAGGGACUGCCAUCCUUUAGCCAACCACCCUGUAACUCCAUCAGGCCUAAUUGUCCUUCAUAGCCACUAACAGGCUGAUCUGAUGGCCCUCCAGACCCUGCUGGUUUCCUAGAAACCCUAUUAGCUUCUCAAACAAAGCAAUGCUGAGGACUCUGUCUUGCAAACCUUUUGUGCAAAUAUUAAAUAGCAGUGGAUAAUUAGCAGGAAUAAUCUUUUUUUCUUGACCUCUUCUGUAAUAAAGACCUUUGUCAGCAAAUGCAAACGUUAUUUUGAGCAGUAAUUCAUAAUCUAAAUCUGCUAAACACACCAGACUAAAUACACCUGCACUCUCAUAUCCAUAGUGUUUGUACAGGACUUUUAAAAGGGAUACAGACACAUUAUCUGUCCCAAAGACCUGAACACAUUCAUCUGUCAAGUGAGGCAGAGGAGGUGGCAAAAGAGGUGGUACAGAAGGGAAGAAGGAAAAUAAAACAGUAAAAAAAAAGUGCACAAAUAAAUUUACCCACUAAUUUAGAUUACACCUCUUGGGGCUCUACUCAUGCUUUGUGGGUAUUCUCCAAAUGAACUGCACGGUCCCAUUAACACCAAGAUGGCUAGCAAAAAAUCAGGUUGGCUCUCUUCCCUAAAGACAUCAUCCUCAUCCUUUCUUACCAGGAGAGAAAAAUCAAAUGGUUCCUUCAGCUUGUUGAGCAGGACACAAGCUUUGGACUCUUCCAGCCUGUUUUGGUUUCUCCCUCAAGACAAGCAGAGGGGUCUAAUGACUCUUGCCUCUUCCUCCCUAAUCUUCUAUUUAGCAAUAUCCUCUCUGGAAAUCCCCGAAAGAAAGGAGCUAGAAAUUGUCCCUCUCCUUUAGCAUUAGACCCACUUUUACCUUUGGUGGUCCACCAAUGCAUCUCUGGGCGCAGCAAUCAGAUUAUGUGGAUUUUGCCCACGGCAUUUUACUCUGCAGGUCCUUUUCCUUUGUAUGGUUUUUUUUUUCUUCUUCUUUUUUCUUUUUUUUUCUUUUUUCUGAGAGGAGAAAAAAAGAAAAGACAAGCAAACCAACAGGCAGAUAAUUGUUCUGUGCUGACAGUUUGUCAAGUGAAGGAAGUGCAAUUUUAGUCGAGAGAUCUACAUUACAGCGUUACUUGAGCAGAAGUCUCUUCUUUUACUCCCAGAUGGCAUUGACAUAUAGCCUGGAGGGGCUAUCAGGGUACAAAGCUAAAGAUGGUUAAAGACAUUAAAAACUGUACAAUAUGAGCACCGUCUACACUGGGACCAUCACCUAGGAUGAAGAUUCACCCUGACGUAUUGGGCAGAAAGCAAACUGAGCUGAAGGUAUUUUCAAGAUACAUGAAAAAAAUAUAUAUAUUCCUGCUCCUAACCGUGUCUUUUCUAGUGGGUCUUUAUUGACUCUUUAAAAACUAUGACCAAUAAAUGUAAUGAUCUGCCUUCCUCUUUCUUCCUGGGUGAAUGAUGGCUCCUGCAGGGUGUUUAUCACUGAGUGUAAUGGCUGGUUGAUCAGUUCGUGUCCAACUCCACUUCCCAGCAAGCUAUUGAACGCCUCCUCCUUGUCACGGGGCCGCCAGCAUUUCCCCCAUCCUGCCAGAGCUUCUGUUAAGCCGUAUAAUAAAUAUUGCACUCAGAACAAGAUUGUAAAUCUUGCCAUAGGACAGAGGGUAUUUGCUUUUCUGCCUUUCUUGAGUUUCGUGUUGCCUAAGUUGCUGUAAUGUACUUAAGCAGAGAACAGACUUAAUGCUCUUGCUUUCUUUUUAAUAAGAUGCAUAGCUCAUUUAUCCAGUAGGUGCAGCUGGAGGGGAAGAGAACUGCAAAGAGGGGACUUCACCUGCUGGAAAAUAUUCUCUACUUCCCCCAAAAGUGAUGAAAAUGUCAAUACUAUUGACACAAUCACUAAUUAAAAACGACUGCCAUAAUCAUGCAUAUGACAGCCGUAGGACAUCAGUUUGGAUUAAAUGUGAGCAGCAAGUUGUGCUGCACAUGGUUUCCAAAAGCAGAAAGGGCUGGGUGAUGUUAUCUGCUGUUGGAUGUACAUCCAAGAGAGAGAAGGAUGCUCUUAAACAUAGUUGCUCUUCUUUGCACAGCCCUGGUGCUUGCAUGGCCUGAAUUCUUCGCAGCAAUGAGAAAAAAGUGCGUCUGUUUUUACUUCCUUGUCCAUGUUUACUUAUUUGACUGAGGUUUAAGCAGUGCCCUCUGCUCUGUACAUAGUGUGGGCACCCAAUGUGCAGGCAGCCAUCCCAGCAGCUCAGUGCUCGUGCAUUGCUCCCAUUGAGUUGUAGUGACACCUCAGGCUGGGUGUGCAUAGCCUUUCCUCUUUCUCUCAAGGAGUAAAAUCCUUUUAUUUAGGGGUUUUAGCAUGCAGACUUACAACAAAAAAUAUCUUGUCAAUGCCCCACUUGGAUUAUUUCCUUACGCAUCGGUCUAACCGGGUGAGAAAGAAUUCCCAUUUAAAUGCCUACGGUUCUUGCAUUAUGCCUGUGAUAUGAAUGCAUGCCCAGGCAUCUCAUCUACUCCAGGUCAUUGUCUUUAAUUGGACAAGACCAAAAAUAAACACUGCGACCUUCCACAUAGUCCCAGGGGCUCCAGGGUGGGAUGGAGCCUGUUGGUUCUUAUCUAAGCAGAAAUGUGAAUCACUAGGAAAGUGUAUGUGCCUUUUCAUGGUGUGGAGCAUGGACCAAUGAGCCCUAAACCUCAGGAAGGACAGAAAGAGGGCCAACCCUCUGAGUAGGGAGAGUUGUUAGUCUCAGACAGAAGGAGGACAGCAUUCAACAAUUGACACUUCCCAAAUCUAAUCAGCCUGACCCCAAAACUACCAUUGGAAAGGCUUACGAUAUGUGCCCGUCUCCAUUGUAUAGCAGAGGGAGGAGUGUAAAGCUGUCAAUAAAAACUUGAAAAAAAGAAAGAUUUUAAGAAACCAAGGAACAGAAAGAAUGUGUUAACUAAGAGUUGGGCAGAGUGCUUCCAUCCUAGUGGUGGUGGAAGAGCCAAAGGUUUCCCAGUGAUGCACUUUUUUCAUUUGAAACCCUUGGUUGUUCCACCCAGCGUGCAGUUUGACAUUGGGAGUUUUUUAUGUGGCAUGUUAGGAGGUCCUCAAGCAUGAACUAAUUGAUUCAUGAGUGGAUGAAUCCGAUGCAUCUUUUAAAUGGAAAACCGACAUCAUUCUCCAUCAGAGAUCCGCUAAUAAAGCACAUUUACUUGGUUAAUCCAUUUUUUUUUUUCUGUGCUAAGUGCACUGUAUAAGGUAUAAAAAUAUCAAAUCAAUAGGCAAAGAGUAUAUAAAAACAAGUGAGCAGUGUGAGCCACCCUUGGGUGGGCUCCUUGCAGGACCUGAGUUGGAUCCCACUCCCAACACUGCACAGAGCAGCGGGGCUGCAGUGCACAGCUGUCCCUAUGAGCCCCAGGGGACAGCGGGUGCAGAGCCACCUGCUUUGGGGCCUCGUGGCACCACACUGCUCCCUAUUUUAAGCAGUAACUGGGUUAAAGGUGUCGGGUUAAUCUCCUUCUCUCAUUUGCUAGGAUUAUGAUAUUUAUUAUAGCAGAAGGAGCAGAGAAGCAGGAAUGCGUAUGGAAGACAGAGGCAUCUUCCAGCUCAGCCUGCACAAAUUCCCAUUUUUUUUUAAUUUUUCCAGGGGAAUACAGCAGUAUUAUUUCAGAGCAAAUGCCUGCACAGCCCCGUCUCUGCAAACACCACUCGAUCAGUGCAACUCUCUGGUGUGAGCUCAUUUAACAAGCGGUUGCCUUGCAGGCUGUGGAGAAUUGCCUCUUACCUAAUAAUUCUGCUAAUUUGCUUAACUUUCCCAGAUUGCAAAUGGCCCUGCCCUGAACAAGCAGCUUUCUAAAUGAACCCCCAGACAAUUUCUUGACAAGAAGGGAUCGGAGAGGUGCCUGCUCGGGGAGCUGAAGCUCUCAGCCUUUUUAUUUCUGACCUUUGGGCUAGCAUUCAGAUUUGCUUGUUGGGAAAACUGCAUUCCAAGUGUAUUUUCUUCAGGGAUUUACAAUACCCUUCUGCUUGUAAUUAUUCUCACCUGAUGUCUUCCAUAAAUUAGUUAAAGAUGCUUCUAUUAGUGAGCUCCCGUCCUGUUAAUUAUCGUGCUGCAGUUCCUUGCUGGUGGCCGCUCUGCAGCACCGGGGCUGCAUCCGUGCAAAGCUCCCGGCCGAGAGAUCAGGGAUGUAGUGUGUGGGUAAUACAAACGUCUGAGCAAUCUGGGAAAGAAAUGAAAACUGCUGUAAAGGUAAAUGUCAGACUAUUUAAAGACAAUGUUGACUAUUGAUUUUUCGGACGAGACUACCUCUUCAAAGGAUGGCAAGCGUUCCUUCGGAUCCAGACGAGGUAACUUAGGUGGAGGGGAAAGAGGGGGAGGUGAGGGAGUGGGGAGGGCAGAGAUUUUCCCAGCGAGCAAAACGAAUGCUUUACAAAACCGCUGGGAUCAAAGAUGUGGGUUGGGCUUUCCACAAAAUCCACCUUUCAGCCCCUUUAAGCACCAUGCCUUUCCCAAGAAACAAAGGGCUGAGAGGUGCUUGGAAGCACUGAUGAAUAAUAACAAGAUGAGUAGCAAAAUACUCGUUUCACUGCAGCUUUCCAUUGAAAAAUGAAACUUCAGGCACUCUCAGUGACUACUGAUGUGGCAAACUCACCAAGCUCCCUGAUCCCAUCCACGCUUCCUGGCACAUCAGCGUUGCAUGGGAUGAUGAGCAGAAAGGGGGAAGCAAAGCCAUCGUUCUCUAUGUACCUACAACCCAAAAUCUUUUGGGGGAAAUUACAAUCAAACUGGCAAUUUUGGGGUCAUCCUUUCGAACUUUGGCUUCAUACGGUUUAAAGGAAAAUGAAGCCUGGAAUAAAAACUUUGUCUUUUUAAAAAUGAAGUGCAUGUGUACAUCUAUAUAAAAUACACACGUAUGUAUGCAAAGACAGGUUUGGUGGGGAUCCUGAGUGACUCUGUGGAAACAGCACGGCCACCUCAGGAGACACUGGUGUGACUCCGAGCCCUGGCACAUGGAAACCACUCGAAUCUGUAGUUAAAUCUAAAUGAAAAGCCUAUUACUCAUAAAUAAAGGGGGGCUGGGCUGCUGCAGUAGUUUAAAGCAGAAUUCUUCAUCGGUGUUGGAAUUUAAAGAUUGUAAAAUGCCACUUUGAGGCAUUAUGCAGUUGUGCAGAAACACUUCUUCUGCAGUGAAUUUAGUUCCAAGAACAGAUCUGGACCUAAGAGCUAUUACCUCUUUGUUUUAAGGUGCAAUCUGUCAUCCUGCAAGCUUCCUCGCAUGAAAAGUUUCGGGAUUGGGUAUUGAAAGGGCAUCAGCAAGAGCUGCAAAUAGCCUUAAGGUGAUCCAGGAGCAACUCCGCUCCCAGCAGCGGCUGCUUGGGUGAUGCUGGGCAGGAUCUGAGGUGGGGACACGGCAGGACAGAUCCUCCCUGCUCCCUGCCUUCCCCUCUAUGGUGUUUUUUGGGUGCUUGAGUUUUAAGAUCGCAAGAGAACUUCUUUGGCACUCAACCCAACUUGCAGAAAGCCCUGAGUCCGUGCAGGUCCUAAGGACUGCUGCCUGGGGUAACUUCUGGUUUCCACGCCUUAUUUCAACGUGGAGGUCUUCAGACAGCGUUAAAUGACAGAUGAUAGAAUUUCUGCAAGUGAUGUUCAUCUGAAUUUUAUUUUCUGAUGUUUUGACUCAUUGACUUGAUGUCUCUCUAUUAUGCACACACCUCUGGAGAUGUUACUGGCUAUGAUUAUGCGUGGCAUCGAGUUAGUGAAUAAAACCACUGCAGGAACUGCUUUACAGAUCACAGUAUCAUUUUCUCUAUAAUUGUCCCACAAACGGUGGAAGUUAUAUGGAGAGAGCAGCGUUCCCUGACAGACUGCAUAUUUUUGCAGCGUGCAUCAGAUCUCACUUUGGCUUCUGAGACUUAUUUCUGAUGGUUCUUGGGGAUUUAACUUUAAGACCAACGUUUUUUAGUAUCCAUAUACACUCCACUCUUCAUGUCAUCCAGCAGCACCAGAGGAUGAGCUGUCUCCUUAAUAUGGAUGAGAUACCAAUUUAUCUAAGUUAUCACCUCACUAUCUCUCAUUCAUCUCUGCUGUUAACUGCUGUGUUUCUGACAUCCAUACCUAAACAAUCAGCAACUUCUUCUCCUUUAAUUGAAACCAUAAGUAAUUUUUGGCUGGAAGUUCUUGUUGUGUGUGUAUAACGGCUUCUUCAUCUCCCAGCUGGAAUUCAGUGAUCCUGUGACUGAAUCAGGCUCUGGACACCUCAUUUUAAACCCACAACAUCACACAGACCCACUCAGCACAGUAAAUCAAAAGUCAGGGCAUCUUGCCACCAUCUGAAGAUAUAUGACCAAAUUAACAUGUCCCAAGCUCACUGCGAACAACACUUGCGGAUGGCCCAGGCGUUUGGCUGCAAAGUCAGCAAAGCUUUCCCCCUUCCUGAUACAUUCCCAGAACUGUGAAACUUAGCCCUACUCUUGGUAUUCUCUUUAUAGAGGGCCCCGGCUGUAUUAUGUAUCAAAUAAAGGUCUCAUUACUUAGUUCCUGGCUCCUUCGUGCCAUUGCUCUCAUUAAUCAUCCUGUUCUUCCAGCCCAUGCUGCAAGCCAUUGGGACUGCCUCAGUGUCCACCCCUGAAUUAAAGGCUUCAUUCCCAGACCCUCCAAGCUGGUGGUCUCCAUCCUUUCGUGACCCACUGGCAUACAGCCCCACAUUGCUGGGGGCACUUGGCCAUGAUGUCUGGAGUGCCAGUGCAAAGAAGUGGUCUUCCAAGUCUCAUCUAGGGGUCACCAGGGUGUUGCAAAGAGCACUGUGUUGUGCCUGCACUGAGAGACUCAACAAGGACACAAAAUGGAGAACAGAUUUGGUCGUGCCCCAAAUCUGUUAAUUUCACCCCCAAUCUCCUUCCAAAAAUCGUUGCCAAUUAUUGAGUACAGCAAAUGUACACCACCCACUUCUGUCCUGCUUGGUUUCACCCCCUGCACAGGGAGCACCCAAAUGAGCCCCACACUCUGUACUCCCCCCAGCAGAGCAGCACAGCUGCUUUCCUCUCUUCCUUGUGGUUCUCAGCAUAGAUCCCACGGGGUUUGCCACUUUCUGUGGGUAAUAUUUUUUUGCAGAAGCACAAACGACUCGCUCAGAGCCUUGGAAUCUAGCUCCCUUUGUGCUGAGGAUGAAAUGCAAAGAGGCAGAAAUGCAGUGGAGAGCAAACUUCUCUCAGCUGCAUGAUUUUACCAAAUCUGAUGGUUUAUUCAUUUUAAUUACCCUUGGAAUUCGUAUUUGUGUAUACAUAUACAUGAAUUCAUGUAAUAACAUGUAAUUAGUUUAGAGUUUGACAUUUCAGAACAGGUAAUUAAAAGAGUUUGUUGUUGAUUAAUCGCUUGCAAAAUAAAUUAUUAGCAGUAUCACCGUUAACGUUAUGUUUAUUACUACAAUUUGGAGAAAUUAAGGCAGUUCACUUACAUUAAAUUAAACACGAAGGCACAGAUGUAAUGUACCCUAGACAAUAUCUAUUUACCCAGAGAACGAAUGUGAUGUGUGCGUUACAAUACAUUUGCUAGGUCAUACAUCUCGGAUGGCCUCUGCGUGUCACCACCAGAAACUUAACACCGACGCACGGACACUUCCCAUUUCUUUCCAUACAUAGAAAAUUCGGGUAUGCCGGACCUCAACCCCUGCUCUGCACUGCAGCUCUGCGGGAUCUGCGGAUGCUGCAGGGUGCUCAGAGCUGCCUGGGGAGGAGGGAGCAGGCUGAGCAUAGGAGCUAGCAGGGGCAUGAGGGGCCAUGCCAAAUGCAAGCCCACAAAGCCUGCAUGUGGCAAAGAAAAUCAAUUUUUUACAUCCUCAGCAGACCCCCAGGCCAUUGUCAUGAACCAGAUUAUAGCCAAAGUGUGCAGAAACGGAAUAAAUCUCAGCACGACUCAAUGAGGUGCUAAAGGCUUAAGCAGAUUGGUUAAGUAUAAGUUGAAUUUGAUCUUUAAGCAACUGUGCACGGUCUCUACUGGGAUGCCGAGAGGUUUUGUCCUGUGAGGAGAUAAGGAGCCCUUGCUUUUGACAACUGUUUUGUCUGGAGGCCCUUCUGAUCCGAGUCUGAGAGAGCAAAGGCAAAAGUCAGUGGAGAUGAAAAGGAUGCUCUCUGGAUCUGUCCCUCUGUGGUUUUAUAGCUAUGGGAAAUAAUCUAUAAUUAGGUGUAUAAAACAGCUCUCUGAUCUCUUUGCUUCUGGCCCAAAAGAGCACAGAAUUGAUAACUCAAUUAUCUCUGCUGGAAAUACAAAUAAAUUACAAGCACGUGGUGGGAGGAACUCCAAUAAAGGGGCACCCGCACAGCACAACGGGCGCUGCUCUGCAGCUGUGGGACCUCAACGCUGCUGCUGGGGUGAGGCUGGAAGGCAGUGGGUGCUCUUUGCUGGGGACUCCUUGAGGCUGAAUAUCUCUCUGGAUGGU